rnacentral:lncRNA from 1 species
AAUUUAAUUCAUUCAUCGCAUCCUUGCUUUGAGAAUUCAACUUGAUUUAUAUGUCCAUCAAAUAGAUAUUAAAAUUACUUUCUUCAAUGAAUAUUGUCAAAAAGAAAUCUAUAUGAAGUUUCUAAAAAGAAUCAUCUCUCCUCAACCAAGUAUAAAGUGUUGACUUCAUAAGAUCUUUUAUAGAUUAAAACAAUUACCUUGCAAAUAGUUUAAGGUAAUCAAUAUUUUUUUCACUUAAUAAAUAUUUUUAAAAGAUUGAUAUAAUAAUCUUCUAAUAGACAAAGCCAUAAGUCUGGUAAAAUGUGCUUCUACACUACUAUCUCUUGUGCAUGAACUUGCACAAACAUAUGUCUUCAAAAAUGUGCUUCUAUAAUACUAUAACUUGUGUAUAAAAUUACACAAAUGAUGUAUAUAUAUGUUGUUAUACUUAAAAUCCCAACCAAACAAUAAUUGAUGUCUGCUACACUUUUGAAGUCACUUUUGCAACAUUGUUUAGGUAAAGCAAUAAUAAUUCAAUCCUAAACUAUCAUUGAGCAAAGUACAUUUUUAUACAAUGCCUAUCUUGCUCCCACUAUGAACUCUUGGCAAGCUUCAUACACCUCCUUGCCUUCCACACUCCCAACUUGUG